CUGCCAAAGAGGAGUCCCAUAAUAGGACGAAACGGCCGUCAAACAG
rnacentral:hammerhead_ribozyme from 1 species